CCUACGGGUGGCAGCAGUAGGGAAUUUUCGUCAAUGGGCGCAAGCCUGAACGAGCAAUGCCGCGUGAACGAGGAAGGUCCUCGGAUCGUAAAGCUCUGUUGAAGGGGAAACAGAGCGGAGAGCGGAAAUGGUCUCCGAUUGAUAUUACCCUUCGAGGAAGUCACGGCUAACUACGUGCCAGCAGCCGCGGUAAUACGUAGGUGGCGAGCGUUAUCCGGAUUGAUUGGGCGUAAAGGGUGCGUAGGCGGCCUGGUAAGUCUGGAGUGAAAGGUACGGGCUCAACCGGUACAGGCUCUGGUAACUGGCGGGCUAGAGAGCGGGAGAGGGAGGUGGAACGCGAUGUGUAGCGGUAAAAUGCGUAGAUAUAUGGAAGAACACCAGUGGCGAAGGCGGCCGCCUGGCCUGUUACUGACGCUGAGGCACGAAAGCGUGGGGAGCAAAUAGGAUUAGAUACCCGGGUAGUC
rnacentral:rRNA from 1 species